rnacentral:rRNA from 1 species
UGAGGAAUAUUGGUCAAUGGUCGAGAGACUGAACCAGCCAAGUCGCGUGAAGGAUGACUGCCCUAUGGGUUGUAAACUUCUUUUACAAGGGAAUAAAAUGAGAUACGUGUAUUUUAUUGCAUGUAGCUUGGGAAUAAGCAUCGGCUAACUCCGUGCCAGCAGCCGCGGUAAUACGGAGGAUGCGAGCGUUAUCCGGAUUUAUUGGGUUUAAAGGGUGCGUAGGUGGGCUGUUAAGUCAGCGGUGAAAGUUUGUCGCUUAACGAUAAAAUUGCCGUUGAAACUGGUAGUCUUGAGUAUAGAUGAAGUAGGCGGAAUGCGUGGUGUAGCGGUGAAAUGCAUAGAGAUCACGCAGAACUCCGAUUGCGAAGGCAGCUUACUAAGGUAUAACUGACACUGAAGCACGAAAGCGUGGGUAUCAAACAGG